rnacentral:rRNA from 1 species
GAUGAACGCUGGCGGCAUGCCUAAUACAUGCAAGUCGAGCGACCGCACGAUAAGCUUUCUUCUCUGCUGUUAGCGGCUGUCGGGUGAGUAACACGUGGAUAACCUACCUCUAUUACUUGUAUAACUUCGGGAAACCGUUUCUACUACCGGCUCAUAUUUUCAACCGCUUGGUUCAUAAGUUAUUUACGCUCUUUCUGUUACUUAUAGAUGUUUCCGCGCUGCAUUAGCUAGUUGGUAAGGUAACGGCUUACCAAGGCAACGAUGCAUAGCCGACCUGAGAGGGAGAUCGGCGACACUGGAACUGAGACACGGUCCAGACUCCUACGGGAGGCAGCAGUAGGGAAUAUUGCGCAAUGGGCGAAAGCCUGACGGAGCAACGCCGCGUGAGAGAAGAAGGACUUCGGAUCGUAAAACUCUGUUAUUAGGGAAGAAAAGAAGUGUAAGAAACUGUGGACAUAUUGACGGUACCAAAUGAGAAAGCAACGGCUAACUACGUG